rnacentral:rRNA from 1 species
CCCUUAGAUGUUCUGGGCCGCACGCGCGCUACACUGAUUCAUGCAACAAGUUUUGUCCUUGGCUGAUAGGCCUGGGUAAUCUUUGAACGUGAAUCGUGAUGGGGAUAGAUGAUUGCAAUUAUUCAUCUUCAACGAGGAAUUCCUAGUAAACGCAAGUCAUCAGCUUGCAUUGAUUACGUCCCUGCCCUUUGUACACACCGCCCGUCGCUACUACCGAUUGAACGUUUUAGUGAGGUACUCGGACUGAGCCUCAGAAGAUUCACGUCUUUUGUGCUGCUCGGGAAGAUUCCCAAACUUGAGCGUUUAGAGGAAGUAAAAGUCGUAACA